ACCGCCUUUGUCUUCACCUGGCUGCUCGGUCCCCGGUGUCAGGACCGGGAAUUUUAAAGAAUAGCUGAACGUUCGACGGAAAGAUAAGGUAAAACACCCCCAGAGUAUCUUGAACUUUAGCGGAGCACAUGGCUUUCCAGCUAGAGACCACAUUUCCCAGCUUCUUGCAGGUGAGCAUGUCCCUGUAACAGCUCUUGCCAAAGCCACGCAAGUGCAACCAGAUAACCCUUUUUAAAGGAAGCUAUUUGUUUUCCUUUCUAUUUUCCUUUCCCAGUUUCCUAGAAAAUGGCAACAACCAGGGUGGUCACGGGAGAUGCAAAAAUGGAAGGUAAAGAUUGAAGAUGAGAGACUGUCAGAGCCUGUAUGACAUCACGUAGCAGAGCCACCUAGCAGUGUCCCCAGCCCACGGCUGCAGUGUUCCAUGAGGAACAAGUUAACAUUUAUGCUACUUAAGAGGGAAGAGAUGUGAUCACAGAGGCAGAGAUUGGAGGGACGUGGCCACAAGACAAGGAAGCUGGAGGAAGCCAGGAAAAGAUUUUCUCGUAGAGCCUAUGUCUCUACGGGAGUAUGGCCCUGCCGAUGUCUUCAUUUCAGCCCAGGGAAAGUGAUUGCAGAUUUCUGGCCUCCGGAAAUGUGAGAGAAUAAAUUUCUUUGGUUUUAAGCCA